ensembl:snoRNA
UGCAGCCUUGCCAAAUUCAGUGCUUCCUCUACAAUGGACUGCACUGGCCAAAAUGGCUGCCAUAGUGAAACUAGUUCAUGGGCCUCGCAUUCAUUUUCCAUGAAUGUUGGGGAUAAAUUUGUGCUAAUGACAAUU